rnacentral:rRNA from 1 species
GACGAACGCUGGCGGCGUGCUUAACACAUGCAAGUCGAACGAGAUCCCAUGUGUAGCACUACACCGGAAGAUCUAGUGGCGAACGGGUGAGGAACACGUGAGAAACGUACCCCAGACUUUGGGAUAACAGUCCGAAAGGACUGCUAAUACCAAAUAACGUCGGAAGUCCGCAUGGACAUCUGACGAAAGGGAUUCCGGUUUGGGAGCGUCUCGCGGACCUAUCAGCUAGUUGGAGGGGUAACGGCCCACCAAGGCAACGACGGGUAGCUGGUCUGAGAGGAUGGUCAGCCACACUGGGACUGAGACACGGCCCAGACUCCUACGGGAGGCAGCAGUGGGGAAUCUUGCGCAAUGGGCGAAAGCCUGACGCAGCAACGCCGCGUGCGGGAAGAAGGCUUUCGGGCUGUAAACCGCUUUCAGUAGGAACGAAACUGACGGUACCUACAGAAGAAGGAGCGGCCAACUAUGUG